UAGGUAGGGCGCGAGCGUUGUCCGGAAUUACUGGGCGUAAAGAGCUCGUAGGUGGUUUGUCGCGUUGUUCGUGAAAUCUCACGGCUUAACUGUGAGCGUGCGGGCGAUACGGGCAGACUGGAGUACUGCAGGGGAGACUGGAAUUCCUGGUGUAGCGGUGGAAUGCGCAGAUAUCAGGAGGAACACCGGUGGCGAAGGCGGGUCUCUGGGCAGUAACUGACGCUGAGGAGCGAGAGCGUGGGGAGCGAACAGG
rnacentral:rRNA from 1 species